GGACUAGUAGAUCAGUGAAUAGAGCACCAUAGUAGUACUACUGGAGGUCACAGGUUCAAUCUCUAUCUAGUCCA